GACGAAGGGGGCUAGCGUUGUUCGGAAUUACUGGGCGUAAAGCGCGUGUAGGCGGUUGGUCAAGUCAGGUGGGAAAGCCUUGAGCUCAACUCAAGAAAUGCACUUGAUACUGGAUGACUAGAGGACCGGAGAGGAUAGUGGAAUUCCCAGUGUAGUGGUGAAAUACGUAGAGAUUGGGAAGAACACCAGUGGCGAAGGCGGCUAUCUGGACGGUUUCUGACGCUAAGACGCGAAAGCGUGGGGAGCAAACAGG
rnacentral:rRNA from 1 species